GCCUGGCAGCCUCACCAUGGCCUGGACCCUCCUGCUCCCCCUCCUCACACUCUGCACAGGUCCUGUGGCCUCUUCUGUAGUGAAUCAGCCCCCAGCAGUGUCUGUGGCCCCGGGACAGAAGGCCAGGAUCACCUGCCAGGGAGAUCUCGUAAGAGAAUCUUAUGCAAGCUGGUACCAGCAGAAGCCCGGCCAGGCCCCCGUGUUGGUCGUUGAUAGUGACGAAAACAGGACCUCAAAGAUCCCUGAACGAUUCUCUGGCUCUGACUCAGGGGACACAGACACCCUGACCAUCAGCGGGGCCCAGGCCCAGGACGAGGCCGAUUAUUACUGUGCGGUGUGGGACUACAGUGCUGGAACACACAGUGACACAGGCGGAUGGGGAAGUGGGACAGAAACCUCCUGUGUCACCCUCUCCUCCAGCCCCGAGGACUGCAGACCAAGCCCUGAGCAGGUUCAGCCCAGGUCCCAGAUCUCAGCUCCCCAGCUGCCUCCUCCUCCCGCCUCAGGCCGCUCUGCAGGGGGAGGCACAGAGCAGAUUCACUCUGACAGGACAGGGCUGCCCUGA